AGAGUUUGAUCCUGGCUCAGGAUGAACGCUAGCGGCAGGCUUAAUACAUGCAAGUCGAGGGGCAGCGCAGUGUAGCAAUACAUGGGCGGCGACCGGCAAACGGGUGCGGAACACGUACACAACCUUCCUUUAAGCGGGGAAUAGCCCGGGGAAACCCGGAUUAAUACCCCAUAGUAUAUUUAAGAGGCAUCUCUUUACUAUUAAAGAUUUAUCACUUGAAGAUGGGUGUGCGGCUGAUUAGCUAGUUGGCGGGGUAACGGCCCACCAAGGCAACGAUCAGUAACUGGUGUGAGAGCACGACCAGUCACACGGGCACUGAGACACGGGCCCGACUCCUACGGGAGGCAGCAGUAAGGAAUAUUGGUCAAUGGACGCAAGUCUGAACCAGCCAUGCCGCGUGGAGGAUGAAGGUCCUCUGGAUUGUAAACUUCUUUUAUCUGGGACGAAAAAGGAUCUUUCUAGAUCAACUGACGGUACCAGAUGAAUAAGCACCGGCUAACUCCGUGCCAGCAGCCGCGGUAAUACGGAGGGUGCAAGCGUUAUCCGGAUUCACUGGGUUUAAAGGGUGCGUAGGUGGACUAGUAAGUCAGUGGUGAAAUCUCCGGGCUUAACCCGGAAACUGCCAUUGAUACUAUUAGUCUUGAAUACCGUGGAGGUCAGCGGAAUAUGUCAUGUAGCAGUGAAAUGCUUAGAUAUGACAUAGAACACCAAUUGCGAAGGCAGCUGGCUACACGAAUAUUGACACUCAGGCACGAAAGCGUGGGGAUCAAACAGGAUUAGAUACCCUAGUAGUCC
rnacentral:rRNA from 1 species